GAGGCACGCCAGGCAUAGGGGGAGGCUGACGAGCAGCUGGAAGAGCAGCCGCUUCCAAGGCGGGUAGUAGAACUCCUCCGCUCGCGUGACGGGGCUGAUGCGGCGCACACCCUACAGGAAAAGUGUUGACCAGAUCACAUUGAAGAGGGCAAAGACCACGCAGGAAACAUCCCGGCUUGUCUGUGAGUAGCAGAAGAGAGACAGACCCGAAGACAGCUGGGUAUACCAUAGCUGAUGUGUAGAAGCCCAGCCAGGCGAAGUACAUAGCAAUCUUCACGCCAAAGUAAUCACAGAUGUCAUCUGCCAGGGGACAAGAGGGUCUCAGUCACCCCCUGCCUGUCUGCUGUGACUCCCUCCCAUCCCCCCAGCCCAGGCCGCACCUAGAGGCUGGUUUUCACACACGGCCUGCACCCAUGACUUCAUGAGGCGGUUCAGAAUACGCUGCUCGUGGACAGGGAACACCUGCUGGAUGAUUCCACGGGCUGCCAGCUCAGGGACUGUGGAUAGAGGAGCACAGGUGAUCCCUGCCCUCCACCAGAGCCCAGCCUGGCUAGCCCCCUUUGUCUGAAGCCCAAGUCACAGCUUUUUGCCUGCUCUUAAACCUCUGAGCUCUUUCCAGGGGAGGAGUUCUAGAUGGAUAAAAAAUCUGAUUCUCCUGCAGAAUUCGGUAGGUGCUGGUGCAGGCAGGGAGGAUGCAAGGGAACCAGGAGGGUGGGGUCCUGGUGAGGAGCCAUGUUUUUAUUUUUUAUUCUAUGUAUUUAUUUGUUUAUUUUGAGACAGGGUCUUGGUCUGUCAUCCAGGCUGGACAAAGUGCAGUGGCGCUAUGGUAGCGCACUGCAUCCUCGAACUCCUGGGCUCAAGUCAUGCUCCUGCCUCGACCUCCCAAAGUAUUGGGAUUACAGGCGUGAGCCACCGUGCCCGUUCCCAUGUUUUAAAUAAAGCUCAGUUUGUGGACC